GAUGAACGCUAGCGGCAGGCCUAAUACAUGCAAGUCGAGCGGCAAGUCGAGGAGUAAUCUGAGACCUAGAGCGGCGCACGGGUGCGUAACGCGUAUGCAACCUACCUUAUACUGGGGGAUAGCCCGGAGAAAUCUGGAUUAAUACCCCAUGGCACAUAUUGAGGGCAUCUGAGAUAUGUUAAAGAUUUAUUGGUAUAAGAUGGGCAUGCGUCUGAUUAGCUAGUUGGCGGUGUAACGGACCACCAAGGCGACGAUCAGUAGGGGUUCUGAGAGGAAGGUCCCCCACACUGGCACUGAGAUACGGGCCAGACUCCUACGGGAGGCAGCAGUAGGGAAUAUUGGGCAAUGGUCGGAAGACUGACCCAGCCAUGCCGCGUGCAGGAAGAAGGCCCUCUGGGUUGUAAACUGCUUUUAUCUGGGAAGAAAAAGGCCAUGCGUGGCAAAUUGCCGGUACCAGAUGAAUAAGCACCGGCUAACUCCGUGCCAGCAGCCGCGGUAAUACGGAGGGUGCAAGCGUUGUCCGGAUUUAUUGGGUUUAAAGGGUGCGUAGGCGGCUGAUUAAGUCAGCGGUGAAAGACUUCGGCUUAACCGGAGCAGUGCCGUUGAUACUGAUUGGCUUGAGUGUUGGAGGGGUACAUGGAAUUGAUGGUGUAGCGGUGAAAUGCAUAGAUACCAUCAGGAACACCGAUAGCGAAGGCAUUGUACUGGCCAACAACUGACGCUGAGGCACGAAAGUGUGGGGAUCGAA
rnacentral:rRNA from 1 species